CAUGCUGCAGAAGAGGGAGAAGGUGCUGCUGCUGAGGACAUUCCAGGGCCGCACGCUGCGGAUCGUGCGCGAGCACUACCUGCGGCCCUGCGUGCCCUGCCACAGCCCGCUCUGCCCGCAGCCCGCCGCCUGCAGCCACGAUGGGAAACUCUUGUCUAGUGAUGUGACUCAUUACGUGAUCCCAGACUGGAAAGUUGUUCAAGAUUAUCUUGAGAUCCUUGAGUUUCCUGAGUUGAAGGGAAUUAUUUUCAUGCAGACAGCUUGUCAAGCUGUGCAGCAUCAAAGAGGCCGGAGACAGUAUAACAAACUGCGAAACCUGCUGAAGGAUGCGCGUCAUGAUUGCAUUCUCUUUGCUAAUGAAUUCCAGCAAUGCUGCUAUCUGCCACGGGAAAGAGGAGAGUCCAUGGAGAAGUGGCAGACCAGGAGCAUAUACAACGCAGCUGUUUGGUACUAUCAUCACUGCCAGGACAGGAUGCCAAUUGUUAUGGUGACGGAAGAUGAAGAGGCAAUUCAGCAGUAUGGAAGUGAAACAGAAGGAGUAUUCGUGAUUACUUUCAAGAAUUACCUGGACAAUUUCUGGCCUGAUUUAAAAGCUGCCCACGAGCUUUGUGAUUCUAUCCUUCAGUCUCGACGGGAGAGAGAGAAUGAGAGUCAGGAGAGCCAUGGGAAGGAGUACCCAGAACAUCUUCCCCUGGAAGUGUUAGAAGCUGGGAUUAAAUCUGGACGCUAUAUCCAGGGAAUUCUGAAUGUCAACAAACACAGAGCCCAAAUAGAAGCUUUUGUUCGACUUCAAGGAGCCAGCAGUAAAGAUUCAGAUUUAGUCAGUGACAUCCUAAUCCACGGGAUGAAGGCUCGAAACCGCUCAAUUCAUGGAGAUGUGGUAGUUGUGGAGCUGCUUCCUAAAAAUGAAUGGAAAGGAAGAACCGUAGCCCUGUGUGAGAAUGACUGUGAUGACAAGGCUUCGGGCGAGUCCCCAAGUGAGCCCAUGCCUACAGGUCGAGUGGUGGGCAUACUUCAGAAGAACUGGCGGGAUUACGUGGUGACAUUUCCGUCCAAAGAAGAGGUCCAAUCUCAGGGCAAAAAUGCUCAGAAAAUCCUGGUUACACCUUGGGAUUACAGAAUUCCCAAAAUUCGAAUUAGCACUCAGCAAGCAGAAACCCUCCAGGACUUCAGGGUGGUCGUGCGCAUUGAUUCCUGGGAGUCAACAUCUGUGUAUCCAAAUGGACAUUUUGUGCGUGUUUUAGGAAGAAUCGGAGACCUGGAAGGGGAAAUUGCAACCAUCCUGGUGGAAAACAGUAUUUCAGUUAUUCCUUUCUCAGAAGCUCAGAUGUGUGAGAUGCCAGUAAACACACCAGAAAGUCCCUGGAAGGUGAGUCCUGAAGAGGAACAAAAACGUAAAGACUUGAGGAAAAGCCAUCUCGUAUUCAGCAUUGACCCCAAAGGUUGUGAAGAUGUGGAUGACACACUCUCAGUCAGAACCUUAAAUAAUGGCAACCUGGAACUUGGGGUCCACAUCGCAGAUGUAACACACUUUGUGGCACCAAAUUCUUACAUUGAUAUUGAAGCUAGAACAAGGGCCACCACUUAUUAUCUAGCAGAUCGUCGCUAUGACAUGCUGCCUUCCGUCCUCAGUGCGGAUUUGUGUUCCCUUCUGGGAGGCGUUGAUAGGUAUGCUGUAAGCAUCAUGUGGGAACUGGAUAAAGCCUCUUAUGAAAUUAAGAAAGUGUGGUAUGGCAGAACCAUUAUUCGAUCAGCAUACAAACUGUUCUAUGAAGCAGCCCAAGAACUACUGGAUGGAAACUUAAGCGUUGUUGAUGAUAUUCCAGAAUUCAAAGACUUGGAUGAGAAGAGCAGACAAGCCAAGCUGGAGGAGUUGGUGUGGGCAAUUGGAAAGCUGACCGACAUAGCUCGCCAUGUCAGAGCUAAACGAGACGGAUGUGGUGCCCUGGAACUGGAAGGGGCAGAGGUUCGCGUACAGCUAGAUGACAAAAAGAACAUUCACGACCUCAUCCCCAAGCAGCCCCUGGAAGUCCACGAGACAGUGGCUGAAUGCAUGAUCCUGGCCAACCACUGGGUCGCCAAAAAGAUCUGGGAGAGCUUCCCUCAUCAGGCCUUGCUGCGCCAGCACCCUCCUCCACACCAGGAGUUCUUUUCAGAACUCCGGGAAUGUGCUAAAGCCAAAGGCUUCUUCAUAGAUACACGGUAUUCCUCUUUUGAGGGGGCAGAGGAAUGGAGUGGCAUGCUGUAUAUUUAGUUAUCUUACAGUUGUUCUUAAAAUGUGACAGCCAGAUCUUUGACCAAAAAGAGAAAACAGAUUCUUGGCUCUCCUCAUUUUUGAAGACACAUUUUUCUCUCUUCAUUGUUAUGUAUAGAGACUUAAAACAAGUUUAUUUAGGCAU
rnacentral:sRNA from 1 species